GCGCUCGUGGCUCAAUUUGGAUAGAGUACUCGGCUACGAACCGAGCGGUUGCAGGUUCGACUCCCGCCGAGCGCACCA
rnacentral:tRNA from 1 species